rnacentral:lncRNA from 1 species
GAUCAACAUGGAGUUACCACAACAUUACAACAUUUGUUACAAAAAUAACUUACAUCAGAGUGCGGAAGAUUUAUAACUCAACUUACAACAUAUGAUGGAAUAUAAACAACUAAAUUUCCAAAAGGUGUGUAGAGUAGCGGAAGCAUCCUAGGUGAAGCUUCUAAGGUAGGAGAGGUGGAUAAUUCAUGUCGCGCCCACCGACAUGACCUCCAUUAGCAGACUAAGUCAGCACCUGCAACAGGGGUUAUAAAACCCUGAGUACAAAAGUACUCAACAAGACUUACCCGAUGAGAAAAGAGGAGAACUUAGGGAUGCAGGCUUAGGGUAGACAAGGGGUGGCUGAGCAAGGAGCCAAAGUGUUUUGCGUAAAAAGCUUACUAAUAGUGCAUCCUUAUUUUCAAGUUUUACCCACGAAUUCCUCCCUCGCAGAGGCCGAGGAGUUCGAGGAUAGUCUAACUGGUUGUUCCCCACAGACGAAUCCGUGAGUUCCUAGUCCUAUCAUAAAGUAUUAUUUAUCGAUGGCCAUAGCUUCAUGUCGCUAUGAGUCCGGGAAUUGGGAUCCGAACCUCAUAAGACAUUUUCCCCCUUUCUCAUUUUAUCACUUAGUUGCAUAUUUAACUACGAUGAGGGUCGAAGGAAUUGAGUCUCCCAAUCGGGGAGCAACGACGAUUCGAAUCGCUUAGCAAUCCAGCUGGAGUUCCUAACCACCCGACAUAUGUAGAACCAAAUCUUGCAUAUAUCAACCCAAGUCAGGCUCUCCCCAAAUUUGACCAGGUUCGCGGCACCCGAGAGCACAGUACUCCACCAUCCUACAGCCGAUCUAGAUGUUUUCCGGUCAUCUCAGAUCCGUAAGGUGGGUACACACUACUCUCGCCAUCUUUCCACUCCCAGUGCGCGAGUAGCUGUUCGCGUCGAGGGAUCACAAGACUGGGCUUACCGGAGGCAAGUGGCUAGUACUAUAAAUUCUCAACCCAGCAGGCCAUCAACGGACCGGUCCUUAAUCGACACAGUUGGAGACACUACUUUAAGACUCCAUUCUUAAAGCAAGUCCACCGACCGGUCUCAAAUUGAAACAUCAUUGAUCGUAAGUGUCUCCCACAACAACCCUUCAAACUUUCUUGUUUAAAAACCUAUCUAGUAGCAGGGCUAAGCAUUGCUACGCAGUUUUAAAAUAAAACAGGUGUCAAGGGCAGGAUACAGAUAUCAAGGUAGUAAAUGCAGCAAGUAGGUUAACCCAAUUCUCAACUACCUAAUGCAGCAUUUUCAAUUCAUAAGUGAUAAAAGAUUUAAAACAUUCAAGGAGGGGUUAAUGCAUCCGGGGCUUGCCUUGGUUGCAGGGCAGAGAGGGACCCUCGGAGACUUCCCAAGUCUCGGAUCCGACUUCCUCGAACGGAGCACCGACCUCGGGGUUCGGUUCAACGGUCGCUCCUUCGGUCACGGACACUAUACGCAAAAUGAUGAAUGCUCAUGAUAUGCGUAUGACAAAUAUGUAAGAAGGACCAAAUCGAGUACAACUCGCCUUCUUGAUGCAAUACAGAAUUAUCACUAAAUAAAGUUGUUUAACAUCUUAAUGUUUUUACCCAAGAGGUUGCAUCUGUAAAAUAAAAUCUCUUUUAAUUCAUAAUUAACCUGAAUUAACUAAUUAUUAAUCUUAUUUACUUUAAUUAAUUCUUAAUUAAUUACUAAUGACAAUAAUUAAGCAUUAAGGCCAAACAAUAAUUAAAUGCCAAAGGUCAUUAAGGUCAAUGACCUCAGGUCAUCACAUAAUCCCAAAAUCACUCAAACCCUAAUUUUGAGAAUUUAACUAAUCAUUACCUAAUUAUUUUGGAAUUAUUACUAAUUAAGGGUAUAAUAAUAUUUUAUUCAAACUUCAUCCAAGUGCCACCAAAUUUUGUGUGAUGCCAGGGAAUAAUAUUCAGAGGCAUCCCACAAAUUUUGGUGAUUUUUGGACAUAUCACUAAAUUAUUGAAAUUCAUGAUAGUGUUAUUUACUAAAUAAAGGCUACCAUUUUCAUACAUAUAUAUAUUGCUAGAAAAUAAAACCUAGCAUUUUUUUUGUGUUCUACAUACUGCAUAGAACAUAUCCAAAUAUUUUCACUAUUUUCGAAUCUGCACAACUUUUCUAUAUAUAUUCAAACAUAAAUCAAAUUUGCACACAUAACCAGGACAGCAGCAUAUAUGUAACUUCAUUCAACCAUAAUUAGAGAUCCAAGCAUCCAAUAAAGGUGAUAUUAGACUUUCUGAAAAGCUUAGAUAAUUUUAUGCAACUUUGUUAUUAUCUUCGAGAACUGAUUUAAUAGAUAAGAUGGCCAAAUAGCAUGAAGAAACAUUCCUGUCCAGACCUUGGACAGAACCAGACAUUAAGCUUCAUACAUCUAUAACCAGAGUUAUAGAUCACCAAAAUUCAUGAUCCAUAACAUUUUGGAAAGCUUAUGAAAAUUACUACAAUUCAUCUUUUAUUAUGAAAGCAUGAUUCAUAAGUUUAGCAGGUUGAAAUUACACUACUACAGAAACUGAUCCAAGAUUUGACAGAGAACAACCAUUUCUGAAACUUAAAUUUAAACAGGCAUAACUCAGAAACUAUAGAGCCAAAUGCCACCAAAAUUUAACACCAGCUAGAUACAUGAAUUCUAUACAACUUUGUUAUAGACAAGUUUCACAUCCAACAUUAUCUACCUAGAGCAAUUCAUAAGGUUCCAGAAACUGUCCAGAAAUCACUAAUAAUUUAAUUAUAGACAAAUAACAUUUCAUUUAUGUUCCAAACUUGGACCUAGGAAAAACCUAGCUUACCAACAGUUGAAAUACAUCAAAGAAAUACUAGAAAACAUCAUGGCCAUCCCUAAAUAAAUUCCUUUCAUGUCUUUAUUAAUUUAUUUAGGUAAAUAGACAAAGUAAUAACCAUAUAUCAAAAGUACACGGUAAAUUCUGAGAAAACUACAGCAGCUCAUAUAUGCUCUCAAAAGUCUACUGUAUAAAUUUCAUGCCAUUUGAAUAAGUAUAGCAAUUUCCAUGAAAAAGAUAAAUUUCCAUCACAAGGAAGCAUGUAACAACAAGAUAAAUAAGAAACUCGACAUUUUCUACACACACAUAGCUAAAUUAUGUAUCUAUAUGAUAUAACAACCUCAUAUAAAGGUAGAGGAACCAUAUUUUACAUUUAUUCAUUUUUAGUUUAAUUGUAAACUAUUUAAUAAGCACUACACAAGAUAAAUCAAUAACUUAAUCAUAUGUCAUCCAAUGAAUCUAAAAACUUAACCACAGCACACACACAUAAUCAUUAGUCUACCAUAAAAGUUUCAUCUUAAAAGAAGCUAUACAGCAAUAGAUAUGAAUUUCUUCCUUUUAAGCAUAAUUAAAAGACAUAAUUCAUAACUAAUUAUUUUACUAUAAAACAUAGUCAGUUCCAUAUUUUUAAAAAAAACUAGACAUUUCAAGGAGCACAACGAAAUUUGGUUCACCAAAAUUGGAGUUACCAAGCUCCAGAUAUGAAUUUCCAAAGAUUCUAACAAAACAUCUACAAACAAGUCCUUAUAGCACUAUUCACCUGAGUCACAGUCUGUGCAAUUAGACCCCUGGAGAACUUCCAAUUGUUGCGCGUGGUCCCUGGUCGCGAACUGAAAACAGGGGAGCUCGUCGGAGAUCGCAGUUUCGGCGUUGGGGUGCUCGUCCGCAGCAGUGGAGCAGCGGGGGAGUUCACCUGGACUCACGCACACCCUAUGGUUCCCUCUACUUGGCCAGAGGCGGUCUGUGGAGGCAUGGCCACGUGAACAGCGGCACUGGCGGAGCUCCGGACGGGGCUAGGGGAAAACGUGGCGCUCCGGCCACCGGGAAGGCGAGGGGACGAGUUGGGGAGCAUCAGGGGCUCAGCACGACUUCGUCAAGCUGCUCAGAAGUGGUGGAGAAGCACGGAGGAGGGCUGGCCACGUGAAGCGCCCACGGCGGCGCUUUCAGCCGGAGCUGAGGAAGAAAGACGGCGCCCGGGCGAUUGAGAGGGGCAGGGAGGGUUCCUGGGCGUACACUGGGUUCGCAAGGAUAUGGCGAAGGUGUUGGAGAACUCGAAUUGGUCAGAGGGGUUGCGUGUAGAGGGUAAUGGAUGGUGGAGCUUCUCUGAUGCUUUUGGUCGCCGGAGCGAGUGAGCUCGAGGUCGGCCGCGCGGACGCUCAAGGGGGCGAGGCGCAGGGGUCGCGGGCGUCCACGUUGCGCGGUGACACGGCCGGCAAGCAGCUGCGUGGCGGCAAGGCGCGCGCGCGGCGCUGCCCGCUCUGCGGCCGGCGGGACAGAGGAGCCCGUGAUCCGGAUCACUGUAGCGAGCCCUAUCCAACCAAUUUUGUGGUUUUGCGAAAUUCGCCCAAAAGUUGAACUGGAGCCAAAAUUCCACCAAAACAAAAGUUCUUCAGAAUUUUGCAAGCUACAAAACUUAUUUUGGUGACCAAAGCCAAUUCUAAGUGGAACAAGAUGAAUUUGACAAAACAGUUUGAAAUUCAAAUCUCAAUUUGGGGGAAAUUCCAAUUUUUGAAUUGGAGCAGAUCAGAAUUUCCAAAAUUACUUUUGAUUUUGCAUAACAACUUGAAAAAUUUCCAACAAGAAAGUUGUUCAAAUUUUUCAGCUCUACAACUUUCAUGUUGGUCACUUUUCAAAAUUCCAAAUAGAUUUUGAAUUGGGGAUUCAAAUUGGAAAAGGGGACACUUUUUGGAAAUCUGUAUUUUCAAAAUUACUUUGAAUUUUGUAUUGAAACUUCAAAAACUCAAAACACCAAAGUUGUACAUCUUUACAAGAUCUACAACUUUGCUUUUGAACUCAACCUCAAAUUUUGUUUGGUUUUUAAAUUGUGAAAAAGGGGGCAAAUCCAGGGUUUUAAAAUCAGGGUUUUCCCCCCUAUUUUAUCGGAAACCUUCCGCCCUAGGGGUUAUACAACCAACACAAGCAUCACUUCACAACAUAAGUACACUCUACUUCCCUAAGCACAAGCAAUCAAAAUAAACUUGUUUUAAGUUGAUGCAUAAUAAUGUGCUUAACAAAUAUGCUUUGCAAUGCUUAUGAUGACAUGAUCCAGUUUUAGUGUUCGUAACAUCAGGGAUGUUACAGCCCUUCCCCCUUAAAGAAAUCUCGUCCCCGAGAUUUUCAGGGUACUAAAACCCGUGGGGUUAAGUAAUGGAAAAGUAAAUGUGUCAAGCACAUUAACUUCUGAGAAAUUCAUACAACAAUUACGAUUGGUCCGAGAAUUACAACUAAGAUCAACAAGAAGUUGUAAUCAAUCAGGAAUUUUAGAGAUUUCAUAAGAAGAUAUGAAUCUCCAAAUGAGCUUCCGAGGAGAAUGAAAGCACACUAACUGUAGAUUAUAGUGGAGCAUGACCAGAGAUCCCGAUGUUUAACGAGCACCCUGUAGUAUUUCCUUAUGGCUGCAGUCCACAGGAGACUACAAGAUUCGACGCUAUAACGUGAUCACGGAUCAUGGUACCUACUAUAGAGUACGGUUACAAUAGCUUUCAAUCAACGUAUGUUGGUUAUCCAAGUCAAGGGUUUUAGGUAAUUCCCACAAAGAUAUGGGCAUGAGUUCCCAUGAUAGGGCUCAAAGAGCGAGGGCACCUUAGUUGUGGGGCUAUAAUGGAUCAUGCCCAUAACCUCGAUACCUGCACGCGCCCAGCAGAAAUUUGUGUCAUCCGGACACACAAAAGACUCUAGGUUCCGACGCGGUACCGGGGUCACGGGACAUGGCACCAUUAUAGGGCACCACAACAAUAACCCAUGUCUCACAAUACCAAGAAUGUAACUGAGAUCAAAAGUCGAUCACAACCACAAGGCGUUUAGGGAACUCAAAAGGACAAAUUUGAAUCCCUAAGGAGUGUCCAAAGAAUGAAACACCCUAAUUGUGGACUAUAAGGGAUCAUGAUCAUAUACUUUGAUAACAAUGAGCGCCCAGCAGUAUUUCCUCAUGGUCAUGAGCCAUAGGAGACCCCAGGUUUCGACAUUGUUACCCAAGUUACAAGUCAUGGUACCUUAAGAGGACACAAUCAUAGUGUCAUUCAAUCAACACAUAUGUCAUCAAAUGACAGCAAGGAGGUAGCAUGUGUCAAGUUAGAUGAAAUCAAGGAAGGUCACAUGCAUAACAAGAGAAUCAAGUAUUAGGAUCUUAUGGAGUAAAAGAUUAUCAAUCGGUUAACGAAAGCUGGUACAUGAUGAGAUUCAUCAAUAAAACAGCUAUAAUGAAUAAUAACUGUUUUUGAAGCAUAAGGAGGGGCUUUUAAGUAUCAUUAUAUUGUCAUGUUAUGCAUGAUAUGCAAUAUGCUCGUCCUAUACAUUUUCUCAACGGCGAAAGUGCUCCAUCUUCAUCAUGUUAGUAGAUUAUAGGGCUUUAUUUAUACAGUAUCUUCAUCACUCUGGAUGGAAUGUUGCAAGACUCUUGACAAAGCAUUGUUGGAGUAGUUUGAUUCUUCACUUGGCUUGUUGAAGAAGAAUUGAAGUCCCUUUUAAUGCCUUCUAUUUGAAUCAGCAGACAGUCUUCACAGAACUUGAAUAGCAAGCAUAAGAAAAGUUAAGGAGCAUUUACAAGUUGUUGUCCUCAAAAACUUUUAAUUUGUAAAUUCCUUUUGAAGUUUUUCACAAGUAAUGUUGCAGAAGAUCCAUGUAUGAGCUCUGAUACCACUCUGUGGCAGAACCUCCUGAAUUAAGUGGCCCACAUGCACCCAUCAUUGUCUCCAAGACUUGUGAUCGGCAUGCACGAGUUCCAAAUGACUCAAGAAGUCUGUCGGGUGCCCUCGGAGGACCCCGAAUCAUCCACAUUUUAUUUCAUACAGGAUCAACAUGGAGUUACCACAACAUUACAACAUUUGUUACAAAAAUAACUUACAUCAGAGUGCGGAAGAUUUAUAACUCAACUUACAACAUAUGAUGGAAUAUAAACAACUAAAUUUCCAAAAGGUGUGUAGAGUAGCGGAAGCAUCCUAGGUGAAGCUUCUAAGGUAGGAGAGGUGGAUAAUUCAUGUCGCGCCCACCGACAUGACCUCCAUUAGCAGACUAAGUCAGCACCUGCAACAGGGGUUAUAAAACCCUGAGUACAAAAGUACUCAACAAGACUUACCCGAUGAGAAAAGAGGAGAACUUAGGGAUGCAGGCUUAGGGUAGACAAGGGGUGGCUGAGCAAGGAGCCAAAGUGUUUUGCGUAAAAAGCUUACUAAUAGUGCAUCCUUAUUUUCAAGUUUUACCCACGAAUUCCUCCCUCGCAGAGGCCGAGGAGUUCGAGGAUAGUCUAACUGGUUGUUCCCCACAG